CCAGACUCCUACGGGAGGCAGCAGUGGGGAAUCUUCCGCAAUGGUCUAAAGCCUGACGUAGCAACGCCGCGUGAUCGAAUGAAGGCCUUCGGGUUGUAAAGUUCUGUUGACAGGGACGAAUAAGCAAUGCGAAUAGUUUUGUGUAUGACGGUACCUGUUUAGAAAGCUCCGGCUAACUACGUGCCAGCAGCCGCGGUAAUACGUAGGGAGCAAGCGUUGUCCGGAAUUACUGGGCGUAAAGGGCGCGUAGGGGGGCGCUUAAGGCAGGUGUGAAAACGCCGGGCGCAACCUGGAGACGGCACUUGAAACUGGGUGUCUUGAGGGAAGGAGAGGAAAGUGGAAUUCCUAGUGUAGCGGUGAAAUGCGUAGAUAUUAGGAGGAAAAUCAGUGGCGAAGGCGACGUUCUGGACUGUAACUGACGAUGAGGCACGAAAGUGUGGGGAGCAAACAGGAUUAGAGACCCGAGUAUAA
rnacentral:rRNA from 1 species